UGUAGUCCCCGCUACUCAGGAGGUGGAGAUUGUUGUGAACUGAGAUUGCACCACUGCACUCCAGCCUGCUACAGAGUGAGACUCCGUCUGAAAAAAAAAAAAAAUCCUGGAAUAAUUGGCAAAAAUUACAGUCGUAAACAGAAAGAAUAGAUUGCUUGUUUCCCACAGACUGGUUAUUGAAUUUCUUGUUCUUUCACAGAGAAAAUUUUGAUCAUUUCAGAGGUAGACAAGUCUGGUUUGUUUUACUUUGUUAUAAAUUAUUUUGGUGUGCCUCCUUGUGUUAGCUGUCAUCCUUAAGCCUGUUGGAUUUUUGAUGAAUGUUUAUAAAACCUUACCUUAAGCCUAUUGGAUUUUUGAUGAGUGUUUAUAAAACCUUUUUUUUUCUUUUAUUGGUAGGAAGGGAGCCCAUACUGAAUACUAGCCCCUCCUGCAGAGUCACAGAGCUGCCUUUUUUCCUCCAAAAGCAGUCACAACACGCUGCUCUUGAAUCUCUCAGCUGGUCUUGACUCGUGAAUUUACUUAUGCUUUCACUCUUUAAUAAAUACAUUACUUGCAAGCAGUGAAUUGAAAACGACAAAAAAAAAAAAAAAAAAAAAAAAAAAAA